GGACAGCACGCAUACAGUGUGCGGGAGCCUCUGAUAGGACCCUUCCGCACAUGUGCAGUCUCGGCACCAGCACGGAGCCUGGGUAUGGUAGGAAUUCAGCAGCGGAAGAGUGGGAGCAGGGACAAGGCAUCCCAUCCAGCUGACGCUGUAGACAGCAGAUUCCUGGGACCCGCGACGGACUCUCCAGGUCUCGGAACCACCUCCACUGUGCGCACUGCGAGUUUCCCAGCAAGUGAGCUCCCAGCCCUGCCUCUUCACCCACAAACACUUCCUGAUGACGCCGCAGCUCGGAAACCCGGGGCAAUCUGCAGCCCUCGAGUGAGCCGACUGGAAAAAGGUGACUCACUGCUGUGUGGAGCUUUGUGAGACACCCCCAGGAGCUGUGUCUCGAAGGAAUCUUGCUGGCAGCGUGGAGGAGACGCCUGGAGCGCCACUAGGCAGUGGCUCAGGACCAACAGCAACACCCGUGGCUCUUUUACAGCUUUCUUGGCAUCACGUCCAAGGCAGCUCAUGGACCAAGACGGUCACGUGAUGAAUUAGAAACAAAGAGUGCCAGUUCGAGUCCCGGCUGAUGCACUUCAGAUCCAGCUCCUUGCUCAUUCACCUGGGAAAGCAGCGGAGGGUGGUCCAAGUCCUUGGGCCCCUGCACCCAUGUGGGAGACCCGGAAGAAGCUCCUGGCUUCGGAUUGGCUCAGCUCCGGCUGUUGCAGCCACUUGCGGAGUGAACCAAUGGAUGGAAGACCUCUCUCUCCCCCUCCCUCUCCCUCCCUC